GCCAAAAAUCUAGCCCUAUCCCAUUACAUGCCCCUCCUCUUCCAGUAACAUAAAUUAAAACAUUUACAAUAUUAUAGUAAAGGAGAUUGAAAGACUAAUUAGAGCUAUAACAAUAGUACCGCAAGGAAAAGAUGAAAUAAAAAUGAAAUAAAUAUUAAGCAUAAGAAAGCAGAGCCACCCCCUCGUACCUUUUGCAUCAUGGUCUAACUAGUCUAAUCAAGCAAAAAGAACUUCAGUUUGACCCCCCGAAACUAGGCGAGCUACUUCGAGGCAGCUUAAUGAGCGCACCCGUCUCUGUUGCAAAAGAGUGGGAUGACCUCCAGGUAGCGGUGACAGACCUAACGAGCCUAGUGAUAGCUGGUUACUUAAGAGAAGGAUUUUAGUCCUGCCUAAAGCAUCAUUAAUCCAUUAAAAUGGCCCUCAUGCUUUAGCGUCAUUCAAAUGAGGUACAGCCCGUUUGAAAUAAGGAUACAACCUACACUAAUGGGUAUAACGCCCUUAAUUCUCAAACAAGUGGGCCUAAAAGCAGCCACCUUUAAAAAAGCGUCACAGCUUUCCUGCGUACUUAUUAUUAAUACCAUCACACCUUUUUAACCCUUUAUCCAUAUUAAGUCACUCUAUACCCCUAUAGAAGCUAUUAUGUUAGAACUAGUAAUAAGAAGAUAGCCCUUCUCUUAAAUGUAAGUGUAAAUCAGAAAGGACACCCCACUGAUAGUUAAACGCCAAUGAACAUAAAACAGUAACUUAACUAGAAAACACUGUUCCCUUAAGCGUUAACCUAACACAAGAACAUUACAAGAAAGAUUAAAAGAAAAAGAAGGAACUCGGCAAAUAUUAACCUCGCCUGUUUACCAAAAACAUCGCCUCUUGCUGAUAUAAGAGGUCCAGCCUGCCCAGUGACUAAGUUCAACGGCCGCGGUAUCCUAACCGUGCGAAGGUAGCGUAAUCACUUGUUCUUUAAAUGAGGACUAGUAUGAAUGGCACCACGAGGGUUACGCUGUCUCCUUUUUCUAAUCAAUGAAACUGAUCUUCCCGUGAAGAAGCGGGAAUAAAUAUAUAAGACGAGAAGACCCUAUGGAGCUUUAAACUACAAUAGCAACGACUUAUAUUUUCUUAAAUUUCCGAAUAACAGUAUUUAUUUUAACCGUAUGCUAUCAGUUUUAGGUUGGGGUGACCACGGAGCAAAAAUUAACCUCCAUAAUGGACGGAGCUUCUCCUGAGCCAAAAGCUACAACUUUAAGCACCAAUAAAUUGACAUCAAUUGACCCAAUAAUUUGAGCAACGAACCAAGUUACCCUAGGGAUAACAGCGCAAUCCAUUUCAAGAGCCCCUAUCGACAAAUGGGUUUACGACCUCGAUGUUGGAUCAGGGUAUCCUAGUGGUGCAGCCGCUACUAAAGGUUCGUUUGUUCAACGAUUAAAACCCU
rnacentral:rRNA from 1 species